rnacentral:rRNA from 1 species
AACGAACGCUGGCGGCAUGCCUAACACAUGCAAGUCGAACGAGACCUUCGGGUCUAGUGGCGCACGGGUGCGUAACGCGUGGGAACCUGCCCUUAGGUUCGGAAUAACUCCCCGAAAGGGGUGCUAAUACCGGAUAAUGUCUUCGGACCAAAGAUUUAUCGCCUUUGGAUGGGCCCGCGUUGGAUUAGCUAGUUGGUAGGGUAAAAGCCUACCACGGCGACGAUCCAUAGCUGGUCUGAGAGGAUGGUCAGCCACACUGGGACUGAGACACGGCCCAGACUCCUACGGGAGGCAGCAGUGGGGAAUAUAGGACAAUGGGCGAAAGCCUGAUCCAGCAAUGCCGCGUGAGUGAUGAAGGCCUUAGAGUUGUAAAGCUCUUUUACCCGGGAUGAUAAUGACAGUACCGGGAGAAUAAGCUCCGGCUAACUCCGUG